rnacentral:rRNA from 1 species
CUAUGCGCCUUGCCAGCCCGCUCAGUCAGAGUUUGAUCCUGGCUCAGGAUGAACGCUGACAGAAUGCUUAACACAUGCAAGUCUACUUGAACUUCGGUUUGGGUGGCGGACGGGUGAGUAACGCGUAAAGAACUUGCCUCACAGUUAGGGACAACAUUUGGAAACGAAUGCUAAUACCUGAUAUUAUGAUUUUAGGGCAUCCUAAGAUUAUGAAAGCUAUAUGUGCUGUGAGAGAGCUUUGCGUCCCAUUAGCUAGUUGGAGAGUAACGGCUCACCAAGGCGAUGAUGGGUAGCCGGCCUGAGAGGGUGAACGGCCACAAGGGGACUGAGACACGGCCCUU